UGUCUUGGCCAAGCUUAGCAGCCGACAUCCCUGCCCAUUGUUUGUCCAGUUUGCACAUCAUACUGCCAGCAAUUGAAGCAGGGGCAGGUUCUUUACCACUGACUAGCUUGCCACAUAUGAAACACACUUCAUGAUAACGUUCCUUGAUGUUAACCAUCUUCUUUGAAGCAGAAUGGGGUGCUGCUAGGAGCUGACAUGUCUCAUUGUCAAAAUGCCUUUUGUUAAUAAAACAUAUUUAAAUGCCAUUUUCUAUGGGUCUCUUAGAUUUCUAAAGACCAUUUAUUUAUCUAUGGUAUACCUGAAUAGGCAAACAUUGUUUGUUUCUAGCUAUUUACUAUAUGUUCAAACUAGGAAGCAUAUUUAUGUAAUUAAUUAAACUAGUACCUAACAUGAACAUAAGUUUAGUUGACAAUGAACUUGCAUUUCUAAUUAUUCUAAAAGUUUGUAAUAGCAUGUUUUAAAAGGGCUAGAACUUACUAGUGAAUUUUUAAGAAUUACAAGAGUAAAAUAUUUUUAAAAGAAUUGAUAUGUAGUAUGUUUUAACACAUUAUAAUCCUAUUCUGUAUCAAUAUACAAUACCUGUACCAAUGUAAAAAUUUGUCUUGUUGUUCUUUGAUCUAAAAGUAGAUUCACUCAUUGAAAUUUCCCUGUUAUCCUAUAUCUACCCUUUUUUUACUUUCAUGGCUGCAGCCAAGAAUUUUAGGGGAACUUCCCUUGUCAAAUAUUGUUUUUAUCAAUUUGGAAGGAAGCCACAGUUUUUCUUUUCCUGUGACAGAGCCUCUCCCCAGCCUCAUCCCUCCAUUUUUAAAUGAAGACAUCCAGGCUGAUAUAGUUGAGGAGAUUUUUCCAUAAUACAAUGUCUCUCAGCAGGUGUUGUCUUCUGUUUAUUGGCAUUCAUCAACUUUAAAGUUAAAAAGACAUUGUGUGAACUAUCUUUGGGAGUCUCUAUUACCUCACUUUGUUUGUUAAACAUUUCUUUAAAGUAUGAUUAGAUUUCUCUACAACUACUUGUCCUGUAGAAGGGUGCCUUCAGAACUUAAGACC
rnacentral:lncRNA from 1 species